rnacentral:rRNA from 1 species
CAAUAGCGUAUACUAAUGUUGUUGCAGUUAAAAAGCUCGUAGUUGAACUUCUGGUAGGAGUGUCCCGGCCUUUUUGUUUUUACAAUUUGUAUGCUGUGUGACAUCUCUGGCCAUCCUUCUUCUUUGUUUAAAGAAGAUCUUUCACUGUAAAAAAAUUAGGGUGUUCAAAGCAAAAGUUUCUUUGGAAUAUAUUAGUAUGGGAUGAUAAGAUAGGCUCUAGAUGCUAUUUUGUUGGUUUGCACAUUUAGAGAAUGAUUAACAGGGACAGUUGGGGGUAUUCGUAUUUACAUGUCAGAGGUGAAAUUCUUGGAUUUUGGAAAGACGAACUACUGCGAAAGCAUUUACCAAGGAUGUUUUCAUUAA